rnacentral:tRNA from 1 species
GCCCCAUUCGUCUAUCGGUUAGGACGUCAGAUUUUCAUUCUGAAAAGAGGAGUUCGACUCUCCUAUGGGGUACCA